CCCCACCCAAAUCUCAUCUUGAUUUGUAGCUCCCAUAAUUCUCACAUGUCAUGGUAGGGGCCCAGUGAGAGGUAAUUGAAUCAUGGAGGCAAGUUUUUCCUG